UACGUAGGGUGCAAGCGUUGUCCGGAAUUAUUGGGCGUAAAGAGCUCGUAGGCGGUCUGUCGCGUCGGCUGUGAAAACCUAGGGCUCAACCCUGGGCUUGCAGCCGAUACGGGCAGACUAGAAUUCGGUAGGGGAGACUGGAAUUCCUGGUGUAGCGGUGAAAUGCGCAGAUAUCAGGAGGAACACCGGUGGCGAAGGCGGGUCUCUGGGCCGAUAUUGACGCUGAGGAGCGAAAGCGUGGGGAGCGAACAGG
rnacentral:rRNA from 1 species